rnacentral:rRNA from 1 species
GGCUCAGAACGAACGCUGGCGGCGUGCUUAACACAUGCAAGUCGAACGCGAAAGGGACUUCGGUCCUGAGUAAAGUGGCGCACGGGUGAGUAACGCGUGGAUAAUCUACCCAAUGGUCUGGGAUAACAUUUCGAAAGGGGUGCUAAUACCGGAUAAGACCACGGAGUCUUUGGACUCUGCGGUAAAAGGUGGGGACCUUCGGGCCUACCGCAAUUGGAUGAGUCCGCGUACCAUUAGCUAGUUGGUAGGGUAAAGGCCUACCAAGGCGACGAUGGUUAGCUGGUCUGAGAGGAUGAUCAGCCACACUGGAACUGAGACACGGUCCAGACCCCUACGGGAGGCAGCAGUGGGGAAUUUUGCGCAAUGGGGGAAACCCUGACGCAGCAACGCCGCGUGAGUGAUGAAGGCCUUCGGGUCGUAAAGCUCUGUCAGAGGGGAAGAAAUGCGGGGUGCUAAUAUCACUUCCGCUUGACGGUACCCUCAAAGGAAGCACCGGCUAACUCCGUGCCAGCAGCCGCGGUAAUACGGAGGGUGCAAGCGUUGUUCGGAAUUAUUGGGCGUAAAGCGCGUGUAGGCGGUUUGUUAAGUCUGAUGUGAAAGCCCCGGGCUCAACCUGGGAAGUGCAUUGGAAACUGGCAGACUUGAAUACGGGAGAGGGCAGUGGAAUUCCUAGUGUAGGAGUGAAAUCCGUAGAUAUUAGGAGGAACACCGGUGGCGAAGGCGGCUGCCUGGACCGAUAUUGACGCUGAGACGCGAAAGCGUGGGGAGCAAACAGGAUUAGAUACCCUGGUAGUCCACGCCGUAAACGAUGAGUACUAGGUGUUGCGGGUAUUGACCCCUGCAGUGCCGCAGCUAACGCAUUAAGUACUCCGCCUGGGAAGUACGGCCGCAAGGCUAA